rnacentral:rRNA from 1 species
GACGAACGCUGGCGGCGUGCUUAACACAUGCAAGUCGAACGGUAAGGCCCUUCGGGGUACACGAGUGGCGAACGGGUGAGUAACACGUGGGUGAUCUGCCCUGCACUUUGGGAUAAGCCUGGGAAACUGGGUCUAAUACCGGAUAGGACCACGGAUCGCAUGGUCUGUGGUGGAAAGCUUUUGCGGUGUGGGAUGGGCCCGCGGCCUAUCAGCUUGUUGGUGGGGUGAUGGCCUACCAAGGCGACGACGGGUAGCCGGCCUGAGAGGGUGUCCGGCCACACUGGGACUGAGAUACGGCCCAGACUCCUACGGGAGGCUG